rnacentral:tRNA from 1 species
GGGCCGGUCGCCUAGUCUGGAUAGGGCACAAGCUUCCUAAGCUUGGUGUCGGGGGUUCAAACGUCGUCAAGUGGGGUUUCACUUUGUUCAACCCCACGAGCGGCUUGGCAGCAUACUCGGACUGUAAGUCCUCCCCGGCCCG